CCUACGGGGAGCAGCAGUCGAGAAUCAUUCACAAUGGGGGAAACCCUGAUGGUGCGACGCCGCGUGGGGGAAUGAAGGUCUUCGGAUUGUAAACCCCUGUCAUGUGGGAGCAAAUUAAAAAGAUAGUACCACAAGAGGAAGAGACGGCUAACUCUGUGCCAGCAGCCGCGGUAAUACAGAGGUCUCAAGAGUUGUUCGGACUCACUGGGCGUAAAGCGUGCGUAGGCUGUUUCGUAAGGCGUGUGUGAAAGGCGAGGGCUCAACCCGCGGACUGCAAAUGAUACUGGGAGACUAGAGUAAUGUAGGGGGAACCGGAAUUCUCGGUGUAGCAGUGAAAUGCGUAGAUAGCGAGAGGAACACUCGUGGCGAAGGCGGGUUCCUGGACAUUAACUGACGCUGAGGCACGAAGGCCAGGGGAGCGAAAGGGAUUAGAUACCCUGGUAGUC
rnacentral:rRNA from 1 species